UCUACUUCUUGUUUUAUGUUUUCGGCCAUCUAUGCAAAAAACUCUACUUCUUGUCAAAUUCUAUGGGAUAAUCUUGUCAAAAUUUCUGAUACUUGGGUGGGCCCUUGGUUGGUCGGUGGAGAUUUUAAUGACAUCUCCCAUUCUUCUGAAAAGUUUAGUGGCCGACCUAUUAAUAACACUCAUGCUUCCCGCAUGCUUCACUGCUUCAACACGUGCAACCUCAUUGACCUUGGUUUUCGUGGUAGUCGUUUUACUUGGACCAACAAACAUAACAGACAUUCGUUGAUCCUAUAACGACUUGACCGGCUCGUGGCAAAUUCUGAUUGGCCUACACUUUUCCCUGAAGCCACAGUGCAUCGUCUCCCACGUACCUUCUUCGACCAUUGCUCUCUAAAUCUCUCUCUCGACAACAAACCAUAUUCAUUCCGUAACUCUAUUUUUUGUUUCAAAAUACUAUGGUUGACUCGCCCUAAUUUUGUGGCACUAAUCCAGUGAUCCUGGAACAAUGAUGUACUGAUCGAACGUGCUCUCUCCGACUUUACAACUACCUUAGUAGUUUGGAAUAAGGUUACUUUCGAGAAUAUUUUUUGUCUAAAGAAACUUCUCCUAGCUCGCCUAACGCGACUUCAAUCUUUCAUGCACUAUCCAACCAGCUCUUUUCUGCAAAACCUUGAAAUUGACCUUAUAGCUGAGUAUAAUCAUGUGCUUCGCAUGGAAGAAGAAUUCUGGCAUUUAAAAUCUAGGAUUCAAUGGUUUCGGGAGGGAGACGCAAAUACCCAUUUCUUUCACCUUUCCACUAUCAAAUGAAGUCGUCAUAACCGCAUCACUAGCCUCCAGAUCGAUAGUGGUGAGUGGACAACUGACCCUCACCAUAUUGAACCAUUAUUUCAUCCUACUUCACCAAUCUUUGUACCACUGGCCAAGUCAAAACCACUAACUCCUAUCCCACAGCAGCUUAUAACUUCGUCUCUGAAUCGGAUAGUCUUCGACUGGAAGGCCCACUCUGGCACAUCACUAAGAGUUCUAUCAAUAAUUUCUGCGGCUCAUGCUUUGCUAAUGGGUCCAUCCCUCAAGAAAUUAAUGACACUUAUCUAUGCCUUAUCCCCUAAAGUCAAAGUCAUUCCUCUCCAUCCCAUUUCCGACCUAUGGGUUUGUGUAAGAUGAUUUAUAAACUUGUGACCAAGUGUAUAGUUAAUCGCAUUAAACCUCUCCCACUCAGCUCAUCGACCAAUCUCAAUCAGCUUUUCUACCCAAUCGUCGAGCAUCUGACAAUGCCAUAAUCGUGCAAGAAAUUCUCCAUUGCUUCCUUAAAUCUCGAUCCAGAUGCUCCAGCAUGAUCCUCAAAAUAGAUCUGGAAAAAGCUUUUGACAAACUUGAAUGGGGAUUUAUUCAUCAGACCUUACACUUCUUUCACUUACCAGAUAGACUCAUCUGGCUUAUUAUGUCGUGUGUCACUACGACCCAAAUUGGUAUUUUCCUCAAUGGCUCCAAAUUGGAAAUCUUCACACCUUCGAGAGGUAUUAGACAAGUUGACCCUCUGUCUUCUUAUCUUUUUAUCCUCUGUAUGGAAAUGAUCUCCCGUAGUAUACAUCUCGAUGUAAGUCGGGAGCUCUGGAAUCUAAUCAAACUUGCACCUCGCUCUCCCCCCAUCCCAUCUUUUCUUCGCUGAUGAUAUUAUUCUUACUAGUAACAUCAUCCUUUCCAGCUGUCAAACUAUCUGUGAUCACCUCAAUCUUUUCUUUUCAGUUUCAAGCCAAUCCAUAGAUUAUCUCAAAUCUCAAAUUUUUUUUCUCCGCAUCAGCCUCACCGACCGAUAAAGCCCUUGUCUUAAAUUCCUUCAACAUCCGCGAAGGCAGCCACUUUGGAAAAUAUCUCAGAUUUCCUAUUGCACAGGGUCGUGUUAAAAUUAGCGAUUUCUAGUUCCUUGUGGACUCCGUUCGGCUGUGCCUAGCGGUUGGAAAGCUAAACACCUGACCCUGGCAGGAUGACUCACUCUUAUCCGCACCACCUUGAAUACAAUACCGAAUCAUGUGAUGCAAUUCCAUAAUAUUUCUGUUAGCAUAAUUAACACCCUGGAACGUUGUGAGCGUCACUUCUUAUGGGGACUCUACCCAACAAAUAAAACGAUUUCACCUUCUAAAAUAGGACCAAGUUACCCAAGUCAAAGCCAAGGGAGGCUUGGGAAUCCAACGCCUACGGCCUAAAAACGAUUCCCUUCUCGUUGCUACUUCUUGGAGACUAUUCCAGAACCCACAAUCUCUCUGGUCAUCUCUCUUACUUUCUCUCUACUAUGCCUCAUCGGGUUCCCUAAGACCAACUACCCCUUCUAUAAGUUGGAAAUCUCUCCUUAAAGGAUGGAAUAUCUGCCAGCUGGGUCUUGUUUGGCAUAUCCGCACUGGAACCAAUGUCAAAUUUUGGACUGACCCUUGGAUCGGGCCAAAAAUCCACCUCCGCUCUUUUAUUUCAGGGCCUUUUAGGCCCACUGACGACGACCAGGAGACAGUCGACUCUUGCCUUCACAACCACACAUCUCUUUCCUUUGAUUUACCACCCCAGAUUCUGCACCUAAUUAUCACUCAUUACAUCUCCCAGGAUCCCAACAGUGAUAAGGGCUAUGAUCGGAUCAUUUGGGGCCUCACUUCUACAGGUAGAUCAUGUCCCUUCCAGUAACAACGAAUUCAGAACCGACUCUUGUUGUCGAGCGAGGGGUCACGGUCCCUCCUAAACAGCUCCAUGACCGGCCUAUCUACCACAUGUAAAGGAGUUCAACAUAGUAGUAGAUAGUUUAGUAAAUUUUGGCGCAUCAAUCACGGGAAGUGAUAUCACAUUUUGGUUCGAAGCUCCUCCUUUUGUACGUAAACUACUAGACAUAGAUAGAGAAAGGUUUAAUGUCAAUAGGUCUCAGCCCACUUCCCCAUUCUCCUGUCAUCCUCCGGUUUGUAAUGUAGUUCAUCAUGCACCUAAUACUUCUAACGGCUGUGUUUGUAAUAAUACCUUUGGGCACCCUAGUACUUCUAACGGCUGUGUUUGUAAUAAUACCUUUGGGCACCUCCUUGUACUGUUUUAAUACAUACUAGUGUUAAUCUUGUUUACCAAAAAAAAAAAAACAUAUAGUAAAUGCUUCAA